UUCUUUUUUAAGAUUAUUGUAAGUAGGACUCAUUGUCUUGGAAACAACCUGACAAGCUGUACCCUCCUGUUUUAUGGAAUGAAAGAUUGAAUACUUUUAUAUCAAGUUGGUACCUUCCCUCUUUGUUUGAGGAACUUAUUUUUCCUUGCCUUUGGAACAGUUUAUAUUGCUACUGACAUGGACUUUUCAGUACAAUAUUUUAGCAGGUAAUAUAAUAUAAACACAUAAUUACUUUUGAUGCUAUGUAUUUAUUUACUCUGGAUUUUUUCAUAAGGCAUUUGCAUUUGAAACUAACACCUCCAGCAGUACUAUUCUCUUCUGAAUUUGUGUCUAUAAAUAAUAUGAACCCUCAAAAAUAUUUGAGGUUUUGAUUUUUGGUUGCAAUCCACUUGUCUCUCAUCUUCAGGAACUGCAAACAAUCAAAUUGAAACUUGUGAAUUUUCCAGCUCAGUCAGGAUCAUUAAAUCUUGAGAAGAAACUGGCAUGAACAGAUACUUUUUCAUCAUGAGAUUGCACAGAACAAUAGGAGUUGAAAGGGACCUCUGGAGAUCAAGUCCAGCCUCCCUCCUGAAGCAGGUUCCCUACAAUAGGUUACAUGGGGCAGCAUCCAGGUGGGUUUUGAAUUUCUCUAGAGAAGAAGUAUCUACAACGUCCCUCACAGUAAAGAAGUUUUUUCUUGUGUUCAUGCAAAACUUCUCCAGUUCCAGUUUGUCCCUGCUGCCCCUUGUUCUGUUGCUGGGAACCACUGAAAAGAGCCCACCAUUGUCCACUUGACUCCUGCUUAUUAGAUGUGUAUGAGCAUUUAUAUGAUCCCCUCUCACUGUUUUCCAGCCUGAACAGUCUCAGGUCUCAGCCUUUCCUCACAGAGGAGGAGCUGCAGGCCCCAGUCAUUUCCACUGCCCUCCACUCUCCAGUAGUUCCGUGUCCUUCUUGAGCACAGGAGCUCAAACAGUAGUAAGCUUUUGCUUGAUGCAGAAUAGCCCUGUGCCUUUUCUUUGUAGAAAGCUUCUACAAAGGCUGUCUGUUUGUAGAGUGUGCAGGACUUUGUUAGGAGAAUGAAAGACCCGUUGUUCUGGCAGCAGAUUAGUCUGCUGUUGCCACUCUCGAAGUAUGAGAAUGUACCUGUUCUGUGUGGUUCAAAAGCUUGACAGACAGGAGGAACUCGAGUAAUGUGCAGGUGCCACGAAGACUGACUUGCAUGUUCAGGCCAGAGCAGGGAAGUUCUGACUUGAAAAGAAAGUGUCUAAGCUGUUUUCUGUAUUUGCUGAUUUAACUCCUGUCUUCUGAGAACUGAAUAUGAAUGCAGAAUAUACUUCAAAGCAAAAUGUACUGUUUAAUAUACAGCCUGAGUUCAGCUGUAUAUUGCUUUUCGUAGGUCUGGGUUUCAAGUAGUGUGGCUGUUUGUCAAACUGUAAUGUGCAUCUUCCUUUUCUAAACACAGUGCUGCUGUCUAGCUUUGAUGUUCUUUGUGGAGGCUUAGCGUAUCCAUUUAGUGCAUCAUUGGUAUAACCGUGGCUUAGCCAAAUGGAAGCCUUCUGUCCUGAUAAAGAAAUGAGAUUUACAAGUUUAGUGGAUUUUUAUCUUGGUUUUGUUGUGUUUUUUCCUCUCCACAAAUAGUUCUGAAAAUCCUCAAAAUAGUUAAGCAGCUGAUUUCGUUGCUGCCAACUGUUAACAUAACUUAAUUUUGACUUGGGUGUUUUCAACUUCUGUGGUUGUUGAGGCUGGAAUGUCUAGUUCUGUAAAGUCUAAUAUGUAUGCAGUUACAUCACGUGGACUUCAACAGAUAUUUUUUACAAUAUAUUUUUAAUAAGAAAACUGUCAGUUUUCUUGUGGGGAUUUUUGACGUUUUUAUUGUAUUAAAAACUAUUGCAAAUCAGCCUACAGUUUCAAUGUAGGAAAAGGGGUCUGGCUCCUUAGGCAGGCCUGAUGUGGGCCAUAAAUAUGAUACAAAUUCUGAGAAUAGGAAAAAAUCACAGGGAUAUUUCAAACUUGCUGACUUUGUAUUACCCUGUAGGAAAUGAAUCUACCAAUAAUGGGCCUUAUUAUUCCGCCUCUUGUAGACUAACGAGAGCAAUUCUGGUUGUUUGUUUAGAUACACUGAUUUUGCAGACUAUACCUCGAGAUGGUUGAGCUUAAUGUGGUCAUACUUAUUUGACUAAGGGUAAAUUUUUAGCUCUGGCAGAGAGCAGAUGUAGCUGUCAACAACUUCCAAGCAUUGCUGUCUUUAAGGGAGCUCUUUCUAUAAACAGCAAACACUCAGUGAAUGAGAGGGCAGUACUUGUACAGUCGUGUCCACAGUUACAUGCAUAUGGCAAAGCAUACUUCAGCUUUUGGUUUUGAAACUCAUCUCCCACUAAGGCCAAAGCCCUGACAUCCUUACUGCCGUGUGUCUGGGAUUUUGUUUCAGCAUAUGUCCAGUCUUAUCUUAAGAGCUGAACACCUUCAGUAUGUAUAUGUGCAAUUAGCAGUUUGUUCUUGCAUGGGUCUGUCAGGGCUUGGGAGACAUUCGGCAUGUGCAUGGGUAGGUUCCCCUGGCUUGAUUUUCUCUGCGAGGAACCUGGUUCAUAUGCAUUGGCACUGCUCUGCAGCCAAGCCCUCAUCUGAAAGUAAUUGAGUGGCUCUCUUCAAACCUGCCUUGUUGCCCCAACCAAAACAUUAGUGUGAGCCCAGUCCCUGACAGCUCACUGCGGUUGGCUCUCUGUGGGCUGAUUUGCGUGCUGUGUUGACUGAGUUUCCUCUCAGCUCUAAAGACUGUGUAUCAUUUAUCUAUUUUUUUACAGGUGUCAUUAUGCAAAUUAUGUAUGCAUACAAAUAUAAACACAUAUACACAAAUCUUACGUGGAUAACUAUGUAAAAACAAACUUCAAUUAUACCUACAAACAUACAUGUAUAUGUAUAUAUUUGCCAUAAUCUAUUACUGCAAAGGUAUUAUCUCCACAGUUGAUGGUAUGAAUGCCAUUGCAGCUACUGUUGUCCUCCUUUGGUUGGAGUGAUACCCGUCCAGCACUGCCCUUUAUUAGAAGAUUAUCCGAACUUCUCAGUUAUGCAAACAAACAAAAAUGUAUUCUGUAGGUUUGUUACAUUGGUCACAAUGUGAAGUGCAUUUGUAUGAAUUGAAAGCACGUGGGACUGCAAGCUAUAGCUACAUUACAAGUUUCCAAGGAUAUACUGCUGUCAAUGUCAUUUUUUUUUAGCAAAAGUAUCUUCACCAAACCUCAAACUACACUUCAAGAAGUCAAGAAAUAAUAAUGGUGGUUUGAGGCAUGAAACAAAGGAUGGUAUUGUUGUGUGGAGGAAGCAAGCACAACCUAGUGAAACAAAAGAAUUUGUGAAGAACUUGAAAGAGAAUACCACUCAUCAUCAUGGACAGCUGAUGAAGAAGACCGAACCAGGGAAGAGUGGUUGAGAUUCUUUUUUUCUAGUUAAAGGAAGCAGGAGAUGUUCUUGCUCUAGCAAACAGCACUGACAUGAUCAAGAAUCUCUGAAAAUCCCUGGAGAGAUCUCUCCAAGUGAGCAUUGAAUUAACUUCCUUUCCUACUGUUCCACUCUGUACAAAAGAAGUCCUUCCUUCAAAAGUCCUUGGAAUACAAUGCUGUGUUUUGUAAGCAGAGUCCAGAAAAGCACAAACACCUCUAACAAAAGAAUAGUAAAUAAUGGCUAUUUCUACUCUCAUUACCCUGGGCCGCACUUCCUCUGCUAUCAGGUACCAUGCUGAAGUACAGCGCAGGUCACUGUGGCUUAGGCAAAGCUGUGUUGGUCACAUGCUUAUGCUUACAUCUGUUUUAUCCAUGCAGUAGCGUUUGAGUACUAAAAUAAAACUGUGAAAGCAUACAGUGUUGUCACAUGUAUGCAUUUUUAAAAUCAAGUUGAGUUUCCCUUAGCGUUAUGCUAUUAGUCAGUGCAGCACUCUACCAGUUCUUGCAGACUGGUGUUUCUAGACAGUUGUUUCAGAAAGAGCAGUACUGGUUGCUACUGCACAGAGACCAUGAACAAGAGACGUGUAAUGUUUAAGUGCUAAAGUUGUAUUUUAUUAAUGAUUUUUCAAGAACAGGCUCACAUACAUCAAAGCAAAGCCUGGGCUUGAUAAAAGU
ensembl:lncRNA